rnacentral:rRNA from 1 species
GACAGAGGGGGCGAGCGUUAUCCGGAGUCACUGGGCGUAAAGCGCGCGCAGGCGGCAACCUUAGUGUCGUGUGAAAGCCCCCGGCUCAACCGGGGGAGGCCAUGGCAAACUGGGUCGCUCGAGCUGCGGAGAGGCCCCCCGAAUUGCCGGUGUAGCGGUGAAAUGCGUAGAGAUCGGCAGGAAGACCAAGGGGGAAGCCAGGGGGCUGGCCGCAGGCUGACGCUGAGGCGAGACAGCGUGGGGAGCAAACCGG